GGCAUUAAUAAAAUGCAGUGUGGAGUUAAUGUUGCAAUUGCUGUGUGAGAGCAUCUGGGAGUACAGAUAUGUGGACCCCUGGGAGAAGACAACUUGAACUGCGGUGCCCAGAAAUACAAAGUUGGAGACACCUGCCUUAAAAGGUACACUGUAGGCACUGUGACCCCCUUCAUGUAAUUGAAGUGGUUAUAGUGCCUGAAGCCCCUGCCACUAUCCCUUCAAUGAGGGUUAAAAUAUUUUCAAAGGAAGGUCC